rnacentral:lncRNA from 1 species
CUCAAGAGACCCUCCCACCUAAGCCUCUCAGAGUGCUGGGAUUACAGGUGUGAGCCACUGCACCUGGCCAACUUCUCCCUUCUCUUGAAUCCUUGCUGCCUCACGACAGGUGUCAGAGCGGCACCACCACACCGCAAAGUGAAGAGAUGAUGCCGUGCCUGGGAGGGUGGCUGGAGAGUCCCCCAUCACUGCUAGUAUGGGAACGGUGAUGGUAUGCAGAGAGGAGGUGUGGUUAGAAGGGUAAGUGGGUAUUUGGAGGUGAGGGGAAGGGUGCUACCUGGGAAUCUCCUGGGCCUGCCUAAAAGGGUUGUGUAACCAGAGUCCUGGGACCGGGGUGGGCUUUGCAGUCAGACAUGCUGUUGUGAGAGAGACGAAAGGGUUACACUGCGGUUCUCACUGCCUGCCUGAAGUGACAGCCGAAGGCUGAGCAGACCUCCGGGAAGUGGUCAUGAGGAUCUGGCUCGAUCUGCUGAAAAUAUAAUCUAGGCCAUCAGAAAAGAGGAGGGAAGAGCUGGAGCUGUGAAGAAAGAUGAGAUCACUGAGAGCUGCUGAGUCCCAAAGAAUCAAAACGAAGCCCUGCUCUGAGGCUUGUGGCACCAGGAGGACCUCUUUCUCUGGAAGUUCCCUUACCUGAUUAAGAACACUUCUAAAAUAAAUGCAGCCGUCUUAAAGCCCCCUCCCUAUGAAUCUCAUUAAAUAACCAGGAAUGAUUAAUCACCCAAGAAAAGACUGAAAAAGAAGCUACAGCCAGGAUACCAUACCCAGACAGACUUUUCGUCUUUUCUUCUGAGGGAGGUUCCAAGAGAUAACCUGGGAGACUGUAUCUGCAUAAUAAGACAACCUUAGUUCACAGUGCAGUACCACCCCUCACCUUCCAUGACUUGUCCACAAGCUAUUGUUUGUCCUUCAGUCCCAUUCAGCAUCCAAAGAGAACCAUUUGCAAACCACUGUCAGGUAUUUGGGUCCAUUCAUUUACAGCCCCCCAGCUCCCUUUCCCUAGUGAAGAGAGUAUUUAAGUGCCAACCAUUGGGCCUUUCUGUGUAUGUUCAUAUUUUUUAUAUGGCUUCCCUGCUUCAUGCAUGUUAAUAAAUUUGUUAUGAUUUUCUCUUGUUAA